rnacentral:rRNA from 1 species
AUGGGUUCUUUCCAAAAAGACGCUCCAUUCCAGGCCUCCCACGCGUCCUUCAAGAGAGGAGCUCGUGUGGCAGACGAUGAUGAGGAGGACGAGGAGAAGACUCCUGCGGACGAUCUCGGCGCGGCCAGGGCCACGCCGUUCGGCCGGCGAUCGCGCGCGGGCUCGUCGGUCACCGACAUGUCAAGCAACGCGUCCAUCAUCUACGGGAAGUCGGCGCGGCAGGACAGGUUCGGCAGCGAGGGCUUCUGGUGCGGCGCUUUCUGCAUGCACCUGCCCGGCCUGUCCAGGCGGCGGCCGACCAUGCAGCAGCAGCAGUCCAUGAGCCUGAGCGAGCCAGACGCCCCGGCGAGCACGGCCCGGCCUGACCAGCCUACCCGGAGCGGCGUGGUGUCCAAGGCGGCCUCCAUGGAGAGGUUCGGCCACAGCUCGUCGUCCUCCGGCAUGGUGUUCGGCGGCCGCGUGGACGCGGAGGAGGACGAUCAGGAGGUGUCGGCGUACUUCGACCUGCCGCUGGAGCUGCUCCGGAGCAGCAGCGUCGACAUGGAGUCGCCCGUCACGGCGGCGUUCGUCUUCGACAGCAGCCGGGGCCGGGGCAAGAGCAUGCUGCCGGACCUCGACUUUAGCUUCCCGGCGCCGCCUGCUUUCUCCAGUCCCUCUCCAUCGUCGCCACGGGCCUGA